rnacentral:lncRNA from 1 species
AUUUCAAACCUUGUUGUUGCCAUAUCUGAAUUGAACUAGCUCUGAUAUCACUUGUUAAGAUCGACUCAAUUUAAGCAACAAGUAACAAAAAUAGCGGAAUAAAUUGAGAAAUUGAACGCACAAAUUUAACGUGGAAAAACUCCUCCAAAGAGGAUAAAAAACCACGAGCAAAGAUAAUUUUAUUAUAAUGGAAAAAGAACGAAGAGUACAAAAGAUGGAGAUAAAAACUAAACCCCGAAAACAAAGAACCCUCAAAACGUAAACACAAAAUUCACUAAAUGUGUUAUGAGUUCUAAUCUCUAAUGGGUGUCUUUCUAAGGUUGUAAAAGAGCCUAUUUAUAGGCUAAAUUCAUAUGUCAAAUAAUAAUAAAAUAAUCUAAACUAAUCAGUGUUUGACUGCAACAAAUAAACAGAGUUUAACUAGAAGAUUAUUUCUCAAAUUUGACUAAAAGUAGGAGCCAUACUUAACAAAGUGUAUAAAGCCUUCUUGAAUGAAAUUUCUUUUGAGUUUUUAUGCUUCCAAUUUUACUCUGUGAUAAAAUCAAAGUUACCAGACUGUUAAUAUUUGUUUCUAGAUUCGUAAAAUGGAAACUAGUGUUAAAACCCAAUACUAAAGGUUCAAAGUGUCGAUCAGAACUUCAGGUGUUGGAAUAGUUUUAAAAUAUUUAUGACAUUCCAAUAGUUAGUCAACAUCUUAGAAGAAUCGAGCUGUAGCCAACAUCUUAGAAGAAUCGAGCUGCGCCCGCAGCUUCUUGUUUUCUUGCUGGUACGCAGUCACAACCUUAUGAUAUUUGUAGCAGUCAGGCAUCAAUUGCCUUAACUCCUCUAAAGUAUUCAAACGUUGGCUUAUGGCCUAUCCAUAGCAGCCAACAUCAAUACAUGCUCUUGGGUUUUAGAAACCUUAGAUCCUGGCAACUCUACAGGAGCAGAAGUAUUGGCCACGAAACAGUAGGCAGAGUUGUCAAAGCGAUAAUCAUGGGUGUAGGAGGCAACCCUAUAAAAAUAGAAAUCAUUGCAGAUGACCUCACUAGAGUAAUACUAGUUGAUGUAAACACUAGUUCGAGCAGACCUACAUGAAUAAGGAGCUAGGUUGGAGAGAACCUCCUUAAUCCAAAUAGUAGCACCUUCUUUUUCUUUGUUUUUUUGCUCUCUUUUUUACCUCCUUUUCUCUUGUCUAGCACAACUCUUUUGUUUUUUCGAGACUGUUGAUCCUUGGGUGAUAAAGAGCCUCUCCUUGUGUCCCUUCCAAACAUCUUACUCUGGGUAACGUCUGGAAAUUCUUGCUUUCACCUGAAAUAGCUGCAGCACAUUACAAACACGUUACUCAUGGCAUUUUUAAAUAUAUGAAGAUUUAAUAAAGAAAGUUACACAAAACAAGACUAUCAGUAGAACUAUCAUUAGAACUACAAGUGAUAGCAAAAAAAUCGAAAUUCAUAAAUUCCUGUUGAGCAUUGGCCUGAAAUGCAACAAGAGACCAGCAGCAGUUCAGCAUGGAAACCAGCAGCAGCUCAACAUGAAGAUCAGCAUUGGAGUUGAACCAAAUGCUAUAACUUCUUUAGUCCAUUUUGUUCAUUUUGUUCCUACGUAACUUUGUUUAGUUUCCUUGUAAUUUGUCCACAAAGUAGGAUAUAUUAGAUUAUGAUUUGAAUUUGAUAUAAUAGCUGAUAUGUCAGCUUACUUUUGUGUGUAAUUCAAGUUUGUAUUAGUCAUGCAUUAGUGGGAGCAGUUAUGUCAUUAGGUAGCUGUCAAAU